GCAGGUGGUUGAGUUGAGCAAGAAUGAAGCAGAAGGGAUUUUGUUGCUCUUGCUUUGCUGGGUGUCCCAGGAAGUGAUGGUGUCCGAGGCCCAGAAAUACAGCUCUGCUCACACAGGAGGAAGUGCUGGCUCCUAAAAUGAUGCAGUUUAAUGCCCGGAGAAGGUUAAACUGGAGUCAUCUUCCCAGCAUCGGUUUAAACCCCUCCUGACAGGGAAGCCUUCCCUGCACAGCUCUCUCGAGCCUGACUCCAACAUGCUCUGCACUAAUCAGCUUGGAAGAAUGAUUUAGUUGUUGUCAUUCUUCCUCCAUCCACAUCUCCCUCUUCUGCUUCAGUCCCAGGAGCUCUCAGUGAGGAAGCAGUGAGCUCCCUGCUCCUCAGCUCAGGUUGGAAGUCGUCAGCUCAGGUCCGGAUCAGAUGAAGCAGAGGAUUGCUAAUGCUGGAAGAAAGCAAAACGUGUGAAAACAAGGUCUGCAGCACUGAGAGCAGGGUUUGCCACUCCGUCCUAGCAAGGGGACCCUUCUCAGCAAAGUCAGCCCUUUAUCUGGCUGAGCUGUUCCAGCUCCUCUCCAUGGCAAGAGAAGGGAGGUUGAGUGGUGACACCCAGCUUAGGACUUCAGAAACCACCGUACCAGGGAGAGAUGAAAGCCUCAGGCUCCCAGCUGGGAGACCUACACCUGCAGGAGGUGGCCAAAGAGAAGGUCCAAAGUGGUCUUCACAAGGUGUCCCAAAGGUAGGACCUCCUCGUAAGCUGGGCAGGGGCCGUUUCUUGUGUUGGAGCUCAAAUAUCAGUGGGCUGAACUUAAAAAAAAAAAAAAAAA